AAGCAAACUGGAUCUAUCGCUGCUCGCAAGAGGAGAGGAAAGUCCGGGCAACAUAGAGCAUCUCGCUUCCUAACGGGAAGGGUUCGUUUGACGAAAACAGCAAGUGCCACAGAAAAUAUACCGCCUUCCUCGGGAGGUAAGGGUGAAAACGUGAGGUAAGAGCUCACGGUAUUGUAUGGUAACAUGCAUUACGGUAAACCUCGAGAGUUGAAAGACCAAAUAGGUUACGGACAUGGAAGCUGCUCGCUUUCUUUUAGGAGUUCUCUUAAAAUCCGUAAUGGGUAGGUUGAUGGAGCUUAUUAGUGAUGAUAAGCCUAGAUAAAUGAUAGAUACUUUGCCUCGGCAAUUUACAGAACCCGGCUUAUAAGGUUUGCUUCUUU
rnacentral:RNase_P_RNA from 1 species